UCUAUGUUUAAAGAUGCACAUGAG
rnacentral:siRNA from 1 species